rnacentral:lncRNA from 1 species
GGCAGAGAUGCAUUCAUACCUUAACUUUGUCAUUUCACAGGCAGAGUGAACAUAGAAAGCUGCUUAGAUCUCUCCAGGUUCUGCUCAGUGGCAAUCAGAGGCUGAGUGUCAUUGGACGGUUUCUGAAAGGCUGUUGUCUCUACUGCAGCCCUCACUUCUGCUGCCUUUGGGAAUCUGGCUUCUCCUCUCUCCUACGGCAUUGCUCCCUGAAGGCUGUGUCCAGACGCUGUCCACCGUGAGAGUGAAGGCAGGGGUUUCUGAUUGUGGAAGAGACAUUUCUAAGGUUUCAUCGAAUCUGUCAAAGACAAAACUCCCUGGAGGUGAAACCCCUCCUCCCCGGCAGGCAAGCUAGGAUCUCCCCAAGCUUCUCCCGGAAGAUAAUAGACUUCAGUUCCUAGAGAAACAUGCCUGUCCUCAGAGAAGCCCAGAGUGCUUUCAGGGUCAGCAGAAAGGCUGAAGGUUUGGCC